rnacentral:rRNA from 1 species
GACGAACGCUGGCGGCGUGCUUAACACAUGCAAGUCGAACGGAAAGGCCUAGCUUGCUGGGUACUCGAGUGGCGAACGGGUGAGUAACACGUGGGUGAUCUGCCCCUGACUUUGGGAUAAGCCUGGGAAACUGGGUCUAAUACCGGAUAUUCAUUUUUCCUCGCAUGGGGAUUUGUGGAAAGCUUUUGCGGUUGGGGAUGGGCCCGCGGCCUAUCAGCUUGUUGGUGGGGUAAUGGCCUACCAAGGCGACGACGGGUAGCCGACCUGAGAGGGUGAUCGGCCACACUGGGACUGAGACACGGCCCAGACUCCUACGGGAGGCAGCAGUGGGGAAUAUUGCACAAUGGGCGCAAGCCUGAUGCAGCGACGCCGCGUGAGGGAUGACGGCCUUCGGGUUGUAAACCUCUUUCAGCUCCGACGAAGCGAAAGUGACGGUAGGAGCAGAAGAAGCACCGGCCAACUACGUG